ensembl:lncRNA
CUUUUUCCAGACCUCUUUUAAGCCUAUCUGGAGUUUGAAUGCGUAUCUUGGCCUGGGCCUUCUGAAGUCAAACUGUGUCUCUGUUUGCAUCUGGGAUUUAACCAGGAAGUGCUUGAACUACCAAGCUGUAGGCUGAUAGCAAGAGAUUUGCAGACCUAAAAAAUUCAGAUAAGCCCAUACAAGCUUUGAACCUCUAAACCUUUUGAAGUUUGUCUCUCACAAAGUCUAACUUCACUGCUGUCAGCAGACAACGCUGAAACAUGAAUGGAAACAGAUCUCUGUUCUGGAAAGCUACUGUGGGUGGCUUAAGGACAAAUGAAUAAAUACAACUAUAUAUGGGAAUACAGCACUCUUCAGAGAACUCUGUCCCUGAACACUUGAGUAUUUCCCUGCAUCUGCAACAACAAAAAAAGCUCAUAAAAUGAGCAGAUUUCUUACUCACCCCUGUAUUUCCAGUGUGGGUGAUCUGAAGCAGUGAUGUGUUCUUUAAACAUUUGUGUUUCUAUUUACUCAGACAAGCUGUUUUUGUUUACCAUUUUCCCCAUUAAACUGGUCAAGGGUGUGUAGUUGAGGAAAAAUCCAGUAGGCAGAAACUGUUGUAGUUGAAGGAAGAAUGGGCAGCCCACAAACAUUGACAGGGAUUCAGUGUGCUGCAGAGCAAGUACACAGCCAAUUUUUCUUAAGUCUGUCAGCUUUGUCUGCUAGGCAUAAUGUCAUAAUAUCAUGAGUUCUGUUGUUCAGAGUUCGAUUGUUCUUAAGAAUGACAAAUAGCAGCUACUUCGGGAAAGUAUAUGUUGUAUAGACAUGUUGAAAACUCUUAUAGACUUUCUCCACAAAUUGUGUGCUCAAAAGCUUAUUCUUGGGAGAAAUAAUUGUAGGAGAAAAAAUAUGGCAUUGUGUUCUGAAGAAGUCUGAAGAUGUCUCCAAUUAUACAUAAUCUAUAAUGAUAUAUUUCCUGAAAAACGUGCUUUUUUUAAAGCUAUUUGCUAAUUUUUUUUUUUUUUGUAGCACUUUGUACUACACUUUAUCACUGAUCAUUCAUUAUCUGUCUUCUCCAUGAAUUUCAGCAUCCUUGUUGCCCCAGAAAUGAAGAAAAGUUUUCAAGUACAUCUAAAUAUUAUCUAACACCUGAGAGAUGUCAAGGAGACGAAGUCAAUCUCAUCACAGUGGAAAGUCAAGAGAUUAUGGACAUGUGUUGAAACAAGAAAUUGUCAAAUGGGAUGUGAGAAAAAGCUUUUUCACCACAAGGACAGUGGAACAGAGGAAGAGGCUGCCCAGUGAAGAUUCUUUCCAGUGCAGUGGCUGUACUGCUAGUUGCAUAAACUUCUUACUGAAACUUGAAGAGAAAGGUUGAAGGAUUUAAGCUCCUGGGAAAAUCUGGCUGC